rnacentral:lncRNA from 1 species
GUUUUGUGUGAGCAAGUUUUUCUAGUGUAGGAAAAUGUAAAGGUAUGAAAUUUUAUAAAUUGUAUCUUAAACUUGUAUCAUAAUUUUCAACAUCCAAACCUGAAAAUUGUGACUUAUAGUUAAAAUGCCUUAGGCAUGAGAUUUCUGCUCAGAAUUCCAGUUUUCCCAGUUCCUUCCAGACCUCAGCCAGGACUUAAGUUGAUAUGCAAAUAGAAGAAGCCUGGAGCUCAGUAUGAGACAGAUCUGAGAAACAAGGAAAAAAAAAAAGAGUAAAAGUGUCUUUUUACCUGAACUCAAACUAGACCCAACCAAAAAGUAAAUUGUAUGGUAUUUACUAAUUACUGGCCAGUCAUCUUUUCUGAUCAGUUCUAUUUUUGAUCAACUGUGGAGUUUUUAAACAUUGCAAAUGGAGAUUUCACCUGAAAAAAAAAAAACAGCUACAAGGCUUUGUGUAUGUGUACACACUUAUGUUAUGUGUUGUAUGUCUGUAUGUGUAUGUCCAUAUAUCAUGCAAUUAUAUGACAAUUGGCAGAUAUAUGAAGAGCGCUCAUGAAAAUUUAAAAAUGAAUCCAAAUAUCUUUGAUUCACGUGAUUCAAAUGGUUCAAUUUAAAUUGGGUAAACAGAUAAAAGUAAAGAUGUCUUUAAAAUUAAGCUUAUAAGUUUUUCUAGGUGUUCAAAAAGACCCUAAUAAAAUGUUGAUGUCUAUGAAAUAAUCUGCUUAAAUUAAAAAAUUUACAAGUAUUGUUUCAAAAGGUGAACAGAAGGAGGUUAACAGAUGGAAAAGAGAAACUAGAAGGUUCUAGGUAUGGAUUUAAUAGAGGGAAAAUGUGUUUCUGGAUAAGAGAGUCUAUGUGAUUAAGUAAUUAAGAGGGUUUAAAUAAAUGAUAAAAAGGUUUGUGUAAGUUGGUUAUAUGUGUAAGUUUUUGAGCAAGUAAUCUUAAAAAAUUAAAAAUUAUACAACUAUGGUUAAACAACAACUGUUAUUUUUCAAUAUUGUAAUGUUAUUUCUUUAAAAGCUAACCUUGGUUAAUAUAAAAUCAUCAAUGUAAUUAUGGUGCUAUUAAUGUGUUCAUAUCUUCCAGGUAUACAAGUCUGUAAGGUAGAAGCUACAAAAGAGCAUUAUAUCAAGCUGGUAUUCUAAAGUUGUAUGG